AAUUCAGAAGUCGAAUCACAUGACGGUCGUGUCUGUUUUGUAGAGGAAUGCCUUGUCAUCAGUGCUUUGAAGGGAAUAUAUUGUCACGCAAAAAGAGUUCAUGAUGACCCUGGAAAUAAUACUUUGAAGCUGUAUGGUUAUGGAUGUUGUGCUUCCACCACGGACAGCUCGUGAAGUCACAUCAGCUCGUCUUUGUUCCAUCUGAACUUUACUUCAGUCGUUUUUUCCGCAGCAAUCAUAUACUUCUCCAGGGCAUGGUGACCCAGUCCUGACGGGGUAUUGACUAGGUGUCUGCAAUUACUUGUGUGUGUGCGUAAUUGACCCCGUCGCUGUCUGGAGGAAACAGAGGUUAGGAUGGAACGUGAGUCAAACCCGAUGCAGGCAAUGUGCCGUUCGGGCUGUGGAUUCUAUGGCUCACCGGCGACAGAUGGACUGUGUUCAUUAUGUUAUAAGGAGGCAUUAAAGAAGAAACAGCAGCCACCCAACACAACACCUAGCAGCACAGGCAGCGGCGGUGGUUCAGCUACAAACUUUGGAUCCACCACUGGUCCCAGUUCUGUUCCAGUGGCACCGAGUAGUAUUGAUACUGCUCAGCCUACCAUACCAAUCAUAGUGCCGCCUGUUACAACUACAGACCUUAUGAAAGACAAUGCAGAUGGUGAGGGUGCUGUUGGAGGAGGGGGAGGUGGAGGAGGAGGCAGCAGUGCUGAAAGUUCUGUGAGCAGUGGAGAUGUUGAUGAUAGUUUUGAUGGGAAAGACUCUGAUAAAGAAGGGAAGAAAAAGAAGAACCGCUGUGCAGUUUGCCGGAAGAAGGUUGGCUUAACAGGAUUUGAGUGUCGAUGUGGUGGCUUGUUCUGUGCAGUUCAUCGAUACAGUGACAAACACAAUUGCACUUUUGACUACCGAGAGAUGGGAGCCCAGGAAAUUCGUCGCAACAAUCCAGUUGUAGUGGGCGAGAAGAUCCAAAAAAUUUGAACCUGUUGUGCCUAGUAAUAGAAGUGAUUAGGGAUCAAAUAGCUUUUGGGGUUACUUGUCAAGGUAAAUGUUUGUUCUAAAUUCCACCAGCAGUACUCUGCAAAAGGAGUAACAGUAUAAGAAAAGAUACUCCGGUUGUGCCAUUUUAUGAUGAAACAUCAAGAAGGACCACUUCCUACAAGACUUGCGGCCAGUGAUGACAUGUCAUAGUUGCCAAUAUUUUUUUGAUGGACAAAAAUUAAGAAUGGCACCCAGUAAGGAACUACAGUGGUGGACAUAGUUGAGCUCAAGACUUUUAAAAUCUGUGUAAGAAGAAAAUGGCUUUUUUUCCCCUUUUGUUUUGCUUUGUUAUAAUCUAGUUUAUAUCAGAUAUGAAAAUAAGUAUGACACAUUUAAGAAUAAAGCAGAGCUUUUCGUUUAGAACAACUAAUGAAGCAAGACUGUAAACAGAUUGUGUUGAGCCAGUGGACACUACUACGUCAUAGUGCUGGCUGUGUGUGUGCACCCCUUAGACCCUUAUCCACAGGAAGAAAGUGACUUUAUAUGUGGCACGACAUCGUCAGAACUGUGACUUGGUUCUCCCGUUUUAGGAAGCUGUCUUCACGUAGUCGUGUGUGCUGUUGGUUUGACCAUGCUCUUCUUUUGAGCUUGAAUAUUGGAAGCACAUACAAUGUGCAUAGGUUUGGUCAUAGGACACCUAGAAUCAUCAUAGAUGACUUCCAUGAACAAGUACACAAGUAUGUAAAAACAGAAGUUCCAACCCUCGACUGUUUUUGUCAGAUAGUUCUGUGUACCAAUAUAAUCUUCCGAGGUGAAAUUUGUAUAAUGGAAUGACUUCUGCGCGUGAAGAAAGGCAGUGACUUUCCUACAGGCAGAGAUUAUGCUUAUGAACAGAACUAGGUCAUUUAUGUGUGAAAGGGUUACAAGAAAUAUUUGCUUGGGUUUGUGCCAUUAAAUUUUUUUCCAAGAAGUGAAGUUAUGUAACUAAUAAUAAUAACAACUGUAAAGGAAAAUGUUCUCAUUUAACCAUAAUUCUGAGUUUUUAAUUCAUACGGUUUUACAUGGAAAGUGGGAAUUUCAUGUUCCAGUGCAGUGUUGGUCAUAUUUUCAUCUUCCCUUGUCUCUUGAUGACUGUAUUGAGCUGUAAACUCUAAUUCUCUCUUUGAAGCAGUACUUCUAUAGUCCUUAACAUGAUUCACUUUAAUUCUUCAUUCAUAAGAAUAGUUUAAUUUGGAAAGGGGUAUUUACUGUGAAGUGCAGUUUUGUCAGAUGAGUCUACAUUUACAAGCACAAAUUAAAUUUGUAAACGAAGAUCAUUUAUACAUGAAGAUAAUACAAGAUACACAGCGUGGCUUUUUAGCCACUACAGACAAUAUAUGAGGGAACAUAACACUGAGCAAAACUAAAAAGUAAAAUGUGCAUGUGUGAUAAUGGGGGAUAACCAAAGUGGUAAUUUAAAAAUUAUACACUUACAGUAUACUCCCAAUUGUCUGUGCUAAUGAAGGAGAAAAGAUGUAUUAAUAAUAAAAUGCAGAUAAUACAGUUUCAGGUAUGGCUGGGAGACUUUGGUGGCUGCUGAAUAUAGAAGUUCAGAAAUGUAGCACAGCAUCAAAUAUAAUUAUCUCAGAAACUAACAGACAACGGAAAAAGCAUACUGAAUAUAAGAGUGUGAUUUUUUCCUCUAUGUUUGUCAGAAACAUUUUUCACUGUGAUAAAUAUGUAACGAAUUGCACUUGAAAUAUAUGCAGAACUCAUGCGGGUCAUCACAUAGAGUGAUUGCUAAAAUUGUCCCCCUGUCUACAAGAAAACUGAAAUAAAAUUGUCCCCCUGUCUACAAGAAAACUGAAAUGGUUUGAUAGUUUUUGUAAAAUUCCUAUCAGAUUUCAUGAAGCUGUGACUAGUCAUUCUUGAGUUUUAUAUGAGGACAGAUGGACGGACUGAUCAAGAGGCUGUCCACAGAGAUGGGAAUUCUUCUGUAAAGGAACGCUGAAAGGUCACAAACCAGAUAAAUUGUACACGGAUAAUCAAGAGUACAUUGUACUUGGAUUAAACUGUGGGGGGGUCUCAUGUAUAGAUACACACAUGAUCUACUUCAAUCUGCCUUGCCUAAAAGUAAAAAUAUUUCUUUUUCUUGACAACACAGUUGCUUGGGUGUAUGUGCUUUAAAUAUGUGGGAGGGAAUUCUUUCUUACCAUUUAUUCAUAUGUUUGAAAUUAGUGCUGAUCCCCUUCUUAAUCUUUGAAAUAAAAGAGAAAGACUCCCCUCUCCUAGUUAUAUAAAUUUUGUGGAAACCAUUAGUUGUGCAAAUCGUUACUCAGUGUACAUUUUUAUUUACGCAUUCUAUUUCACGUUACAUGUAAGUCUCGUCUCAGAGCAGUGUUUAACACGCAUAUUGUUCUGAAAACAUUGUAUGUGAGGUAUUAAUAAAAACCUUUCAUUUCAAUAAAGUCUUUGCCUUGUUUAAGAA